AUAAACGUUGUUUUACAAGCUGCUGGAAUACCUCAUUCAAAACGACGGUUCCGUAGUCUGCAAGUGGUGCGGCGAAGUGCUACCGUCUCGAACCCGUUGGUACAGGCACAAGUACAAACUCCACGUCUCCACCCAGGUCACCCAGCCGGCGCCACUGUUCAAGUGCCACAGCUGUAACGCUUACUUCAAAUCCCGUAAAGGUUACAUCGGUCAUCUAAGCUCUCGCCAUUCCGACAACGAAAACGACGAGAACAGGGAAGAGCCGGCUAACAAGAAGGCUCGGAAGACCUCUGACAUCGGGAAGGGGCCAGACUGGGAGCAGCAAAGGGAGAAGGAGGAGAAGUUGGUGGCGGACAUAAUCGAUCGGGUGAAAAGGGAGUGCGAGGCUCAGGGUGAAACGGUGACGAGACGAGGCUACUCCAGGCGAUCCACCGUGAUGAACAGCUAAGGAA